GACGAGCGCUGGCGGCGUGCCUAAUACAUGCAAGUUGAGCGAUGAAGAUUGGUGCUUGCACCAAUUUGAAGAGCAGCGAACGGGUGAGUAACGCGUGGGGAAUCUGCCUUUGAGCGGGGGACAACAUUUGGAAACGAAUGCUAAUACCGCAUAACAACUUUAAACAUAAGUUUUAAGUUUGAAAGAUGCAAUUGCAUCACUCAAAGAUGAUCCCGCGUUGUAUUAGCUAGUUGGUGAGGUAAAGGCUCACCAAGGCGAUGAUACAUAGCCGACCUGAGAGGGUGAUCGGCCACAUUGGGACUGAGACACGGCCCAAACUCCUACGGGAGGCAGCAGUAGGGAAUCUUCGGCAAUGGACGAAGGUCUGACCGAGCAACGCCGCGUGAGUGAAGAAGGUUUUCGGAUCGUAAAACUCUGUUGGUAGAGAAGAACGUUGGUGAGAGUGGAAAGCUCAUCAAGUGACGGUAACUACCCAGAAAGGGACGGCUAACUACGUG
rnacentral:rRNA from 1 species